UUGAUGAGCAAACUGGAAGCCUCUCCACUCCUCACUGCCCUCUCCUAAUCCUCCCCUUUUCUUAAUUACGCUUUGACAUCAGGAAGGGGGUGGUAUAAAGCGCGUUCAAGCCCCCUGUCUCUUUUGCACUUUCCCACCUUAGCACUCACUCAUACACACCACACAAGCGUACUCUCCGCACCCACACUGCACCUCUACACCACUUCCAUCUAGGAGAACAAGAGUUGGUUCCAAACAGCCGACUAACGUCCCAUACACGCAGCCACCAUAGAAGCACAGAGCGGGAAGGAGCACGCAUCCUCUGGCACCCAGGCACCCACAAACUCGCCACCGUGGAGCCCACAGAGGAAUCGGCUGUUGGCUUGUACACCAUGAGUAGCCUCAAGCCAGAGAGUGAGCACAAUAAUAAUAAUAUAGAGGAAGAGGUACGAACUCUAUUUGUUAGUGGGCUACCUAUUGACAUCAAACCCAGGGAACUUUAUUUGCUUUUUCGACCAUUUAAGCUGGGGGUCAAACUGCAGUGAAAGGGUUAUGAAGGAUCACUCAUCAAGCUUACCUCAAAACAGCCUGUUGGCUUUGUCACAUUUGACAAUAGGGCUGGAGCUGAAGCUGCAAAGAACGCCUUAAAUGGCAUCCGUUUUGACCCAGAAAACCCACAGACAUUACGGCUAGAGUUUGCCAAGGCUAACACAAAGAUGGCAAAGAACAAAUUAAUGGCUACACCAAACCCCACAAACCUCCACCCUGCACUUGGAGCACACUUCAUUGCACGAGAUCCAUAUGACUUAACUGGGGCUGCACUAAUCCCAGCAUCACCAGAGGCUUGGGCUCCCUACCCACUGUAUACUGCAGAACUUGCUCCAGCCAUUCCACAUGCUGCUUUCACAUACCCUGCUGCUGCUGCUGCCGCUGCUGCACUUCAUGCCCAGAUGCGUUGGUAUCCUCCAUCUGAAGCAACCCAGCAGGCAUGGAAGUCUCGCCAGUUUUGUUAGAGCUCUUUGGUUCCUUCAUACCAUUUUGAGGAUUUCAUUUUGUGCUCUCCAUGAAUUGAUGUGCCAAGCAAUAAAUUAGUUCUAGUAGAAUAUCUAACCCAUGGACCAGGACCAGUCAUCCAGCAUUAAGACCUUUUAGUCAACUCCUUACUUUCCACCAUCAAUUCACUGGGCUGUUUCAGCUACAUCCAAGAAAAGACUGCAUAGGUUAACUUGAGCAUGGCUGUUACAGUGUAAAAUGUACCGCUUAUUGGUGGGAUUGGGAGGGUUUGCAUGUUUUCUAGCAUGAAUUAACUGUCUGCUUGAUGUAAACAUUACAUAAGAUUAUAGUUAAAUUUCAGGGUAACCUUUUGAUCUGUAAAAGCUUGGUACUUCCCAUUCUACAUACUGUUAAAUUUCGCUGUUCCCCACCCACUAUUUACUGUUCAAUGUCAGAGUUCUGUCCAUUUUCAUUGGAGAGUUUUUGUUCUUGCCAAGUGUAAUGCAACCUUAAUGGGAAACUGAGCAAAAGUACCAGUAUUUUUGUAACAUGUUAAUAAGGAGAUAUUUAUGCAUUUGUUUUUCUUGUGUGAUAAUUAUUAAAGAAUAUAUUAAGUUAAUAUUAUGUUAAAAAGCUUGAAGAUUCUGUAUGGUUUGUCUGCUGUACUUCAUGAACAAUUGUGCAAUUUUUUUGUGUUCCAUUUGCAUUCUGCUUGAUAUUUCAGUAUUAUGAGAGAUGUAUUUUGCCUGUAGAGUGAAUUUUCUCUUGCUGAUCUUAUGAGAAUGUGAUAAUGGAUAAAAAAAAUUAUAUAAAUACAAACUU